GAUGAAGAACGCAGCGAAAUGCGAUAAGUAGUGUGAAUUGCAGAAUUCAGUGAAUCAUCGAGUCUUUGAACGCACAUUGCGCCCCCUGGUAUUCCGGGGGGCAUGCCUGUCCGAGCGUCAUUGCCGCCCUCAAGCACGGCUUGUGUGUUGGGCCCCCGCCCCCCGGCUUCGGGGGGCGGGCCCGAAAGGCAGCGGCGGCACCGCGUCCGGUCCUCGAGCGUAUGGGGCUUCGUCACCCGCUCUGUAGGCCCGGCCGGCGCCCGCCGGCGACCCCAAUCAAUCUUUCCAGGUUGACCUCGGAUCAGGUAGGGAUACCCGCUGAACUUAAGCAUAUCAAUAAGCGGAGGA
rnacentral:misc_RNA from 1 species